AGAGUUUGAUCCUGGCUCAGGACGAACGCUGGCGGCGUGCUUAACACAUGCAAGUCGAACGGAAAGGCCCUUCGGGGUACUCGAGUGGCGAACGGGUGAGUAACACGUGGGUGAUCUGCCCUGCACUUUGGGAUAAGCCUGGGAAACUGGGUCUAAUACCGAAUAUGACCAUGCGCCUCCUGGUGUGUGGUGGAAAGCUUUUGCGGUGUGGGAUGGGCCCGCGGCCUACCAGCUUGUUGGUGGGGUAAUGGCCUACCAAGGCGACGACGGGUAGCUGGCCUGAGAGGGUGACCGGCCACACUGGGACUGAGAUACGGCCCAGACUCCUACGGGAGGCAGCAGUGGGGAAUAUUGCACAAUGGGCGCAAGCCUGAUGCAGCGACGCCGCGUGAGGGAUGACGGCCUUCGGGUUGUAAACCUCUUUCAGCACAGACGAAGCGCAAGUGACGGUAUGUGCAGAAGAAGGACCGGCCAACUACGUGCCAGCAGCCGCGGUAAUACGUAGGGUCCGAGCGUUGUCCGGAAUUACUGGGCGUAAAGAGCUCGUAGGUGGUUUGUCGCGUUGUUCGUGAAAACUCACAGCUUAACUGUGGGCGUGCGGGCGAUACGGGCAGACUUAAGUACUGCAGGGGAGACUGGAAUUCCUGGUGUAGCGGUGGAAUGCGCAGAUAUCAGGAGGAACACCGGUGGCGAAGGCGGGUCUCUGGGCAGUAACUGACGCUGAGGAGCGAAAGCGUGGGGAGCGAACAGGAUUAGAUACCCUGGUAGUCCAA
rnacentral:rRNA from 1 species